CUGGUCAUCAUGCAUCCAUGUCCUAUUUGGGACAUUUUUGAAAUAAUGUAAUUAUGUAAUGUAAUUUACUCCCAACAAACCAUAUAUUUAUGAAAAGUAGACACCCUAGGGCAGUAAAAUUAGUGAAAACCUGAGUGGUACAAUGGUAUAGAACUGUCCUGUGAGACAUGGGGUAGGAAGAGGAGACGGGCUAUACAGGAUAUGGCAAUAAAGUGCAAAGUAGAG